rnacentral:rRNA from 1 species
UACGUAGGGGGCAAGCGUUGUCCGGAAUUAUUGGGCGUAAAGAGCGUGUAGGCGGCCAGAUAAGUCCGCUGUGAAAUCUUGAGGCUCAACUUCGAGCUGUCGGUGGAAACUAUCUGGCUAGAGUCCGGAAGAGGAGAAUGGAAUUCCUGGUGUAGCGGUGAAAUGCGCAGAUAUCAGGAAGAACACCCGUGGCGAAGGCGGUUCUCUGGGCCGUAACUGACGCUGAGGAGCGAAAGCGUGGGGAGCGAACAGG